rnacentral:lncRNA from 1 species
UCCGACAGGAAAAAAAUCCUUCAGUAACCCGCUGAUUAAUUGUGCAGAAAUCUGCUAGGUUUAUAGGUUAUAGGUUUAUUAAAUUGCAGUGAGAAAUUGUAUAUUUGGAAUAUUUGGAAGCUGCCUUGUUUCAGCACAAAAGCUGGAUGGGAGAGAGAGAGAAGUGAGAUGAAGCAAAGAGAAGAUGAAAAGAAGAAAUGGAAGGACUAGGAAGUUGAGGAGAAAGGAAGACUGAAGGGAGUAAAGAAAGGAAGCAUGGAGACAAUUCCUGUAACAGGUCUUAUUCACUUCAUUAAUAUUUAAUCGAAGAAUCAUACUGAGCUAUUUCCAGAAUCUGAGUGGAGGGAACAUGGUACUGCCUUCCCAGUGGAAUUCUGAUUAAUAUACCAUCUCUGUGGUCCCUGAGGAUCACCAGCUUCCUUAUCCCCCAACUAUAUAUAUUUAUUCUGUGGAGAGGGAGGCAGAAAGUUGGAGAAAGCCCUUUGUAGCUCAACACAUGAUCUUCAGAAUAGUCAACAGACCUUUCCUGAUGGUCACCCAGUGGCCUUGCUGUUUCUCCAUGUGAAUGUGUUAUUGAAUGUUGUACAAAGCUGCCUGAAAAAGAUAUUAAAAGAAGCCUGCCAUGUAAGUUUACAGAAUAAUAGUGGAUUAGCUAUCUAUUUCUAUCAAACAAUUUACCAUGACAUGAGUGGCCUACUGCUCGUUUAUUAAACAAAAAG